rnacentral:rRNA from 1 species
GACGUAGGGGGCGAGCGUUGUCCGGAUUCAUUGGGCGUAAAGAGCGCGUAGGCGGCCCGGAAAGUGGGGUGUGAAAACCCGAGGCUCAACCUCGGGCGUGCACUCCAAACUCCCGGGCUUGAGGCAGGUAGGGGAGAUCGGAAUUCCUGGUGUAGCGGUGAAAUGCGCAGAUAUCGUAAGGAAGACCAGUGGCGAAGGCGGGUCUCUGGACAGUUCCUGACGCUGAGGCACGAAGGUCAGGGGAGCAAACGGG